GAAAUGCGAUAAGUAGUGUGAAUUGCAGAAUUCAGUGAAUCAUCGAAUCUUUGAACGCACAUUGCGCCCUUUGGCAUUCCGAAGGGCAUACCUGUUCGAGCGUCAUUUGUACCCUCAAGCUCUGCUUGGUGUUGGGUGUUUGUCCCGUCUCCGCGCGUGGACUCGCCCCAAAGUGAUUGGCAGCCGGCGUACUGGUCCCGGAGCGCAGCACAUGUCGCGCAAACGAGUGCCUUGGUACGGCGGCGUCCAUAAGCCCCUCUCUCACGCUCUUGACCUCGGAUCAGGUAGGGAUACCCGCUGAACUUAAGC
rnacentral:misc_RNA from 1 species